rnacentral:rRNA from 1 species
GGAAUUGACGGGGCCCGCACAAGCGGUGGAGCAUGUGGUUUAAUUCGACGCAACGCGAAGAACCUUACCAGGGCUUGACAUCCCCUGACCGCGUAUGAAAGUACGUUUUCACCCUCGGGUGACAGGGAGACAGGUGGUGCAUGGUUGUCGUCAGCUCGUGUCGUGAGAUGUUGGGUUAAGUCCCGCAACGAGCGCAACCCUUAUUGCUAGUUACCAUCAUUGAGUUGGGGACUCUAGCGAGACUGCCAGUGAUAAACUGGAGGAAGGUGGGGAUGACGUCAAAUCAUCAUGCCCCUUAUGACCUGGGCUACAAACGUGAUACAAUGGCUGAAACAGAGGGAGGCGAAGGAGUGACCUGGAGCGAAACCCAGAAAAACAGUCUCAGUUCGGAUUGAAGUCUGCAACUCGACUUCAUGAAGUCGGAAUCGCUAGUAAUCGCGGAUCAGAACGCCGCGGUGAAUACGUUCUCGGGGUUU